AUAUUUACCAGCCAGGGUGGAUACCAGGAUAAAAAAGGUCAUUUCCCCUUGGUGAGGCACUCUUUCAUUAUACAGCAUGGUUGCAUUAACCCCUGUAGUUUCCCAAAAUGUGGAAAACUGAACUGUAUAAUUUAUGGUAAGUAACAAAAAAAAUGCAUCUGUUUU